GGGACAGUUCGAGUUUAAAAGCUAGGUACUAAAAAAGUGUGGCAGAGCAACUAUUCAUCAUUUCCAUGUGAGUUAAACUUUGGUUUGGAAUUAAUCCUUGUAUCUUCUCCUUUUUAUUUAUUUAUUAACAAUUCUAAAAUCAUACGGAAAAAUAUGUAGGGAAAUCUUUAUUUGGUUUUUAAAUGUUUAUUCAUCUUUUUAUCUGUUUUCAUAAUCUAGGCAAAGCAACUUCAAAUUCAAAUUCAAAAAGGUGGUAGAAGUACUUAGCUAGAUACGCGGGGGUAUGCCCUCCCCCAAGCUGGAUGUUGAUGUGGUCUCUUGGUGUAGCAGACUGGCAGUGAAGAUACCUUCUCUGGUUGUCGGUCUUCCUGAUCCUUUAGAUUCUAUGGGGCUCAAAUAGACAACAAAGCUCGUGAAACUUGAUUAAGUGUUAGUGAUAAACCUCUAAGCCUUGAGUGUCUAGAACUUCACAUUUGAUUGAGCAUGUACUAUCCAGGAUCUUUUCUUUUUGGUAUUUUAAGUGUUUUUAUAUUUUUAUGGAUUUUUAAAUUUAUAAUGCAAAAGAGAAAAUGUAACUAGACUAUUUAUUUUUUUUAUUUUUGUGCCACCACGGUGAGUACUCUUUAUGGAUUGCCAUAAGGAUAUUCACAUGGGGCUUAACACACAUUAUUUUUUUCUAAUGCAAAAAGAUGUUGAACUAAGUGAUGAUGAUUAUGCGUAAAUUAAAUAUGCAAAAAGAUGUUCUUGUUACUCUUGGUGAUUGCCAGCACCUAGAUGGCUUGGAGCAUCGGUGGAGGUCUAGCAUGUGUUGGUGAUUGUUUGUAGCCGGCUCCGAUGAUCUUGUGAGGGGUUCUUAUGCCUUCCUCGGCCAAGUGCCAAAGACAACUCUAGUGGAUUGCUCGUGUCAUUGAGCUACCUCACUUGAGGGUAGGUUCUUGCAGUGUCCUACGUGAGGACGUGGUUCAUGCAACAUCUCUUAGCCACCGAACCACCAAGUGUUGGUUGACACAACAGGGACUAGCGUGCCGACAAGCACGUAAACCUCAGGAGAAAAAUCGUAUGUUUCAAUUGUGAUUGAUUGGCAUUCUCUAGGUAAUUAAUUGAUUCAUAUCUCGGUGAUUGAUUCAUCCCCUACGCGGCGGUAUAAACAUCACAUCCUCUCUAUUUAUAUUCCCACAAAGUAGUGUAAUUAGCUUUAGUUGCUAGCUUUGCCUUGUGUUGCUUAAUUCAUUAGUGUAGCUUGUAUUGACUUAGCUCUUGCGUGCCUAUUGACCUUACUAACUAGAAUUGUUGGCAUAGGCAGCUUGCAAAUUUUCAAUUAGAGCUAGAGCAAAAAGCUUCGCUUUGUUAUUUACUAACUCCUUGCUCUAGUGAGUUUGUAGAAAUCUUAAAUAGGCUAUUCACUCCCCACCCUUUAGCCAUAUUAGAACCUUUCAUGCUCUCUUAGCUACAUAGUAGAUGGGAUGAAAGGGAAUGAGAUGGAUGAGGUCCCUACCCUCCCUUAUGUAGGCGGAGGGGAUAGGGUUAUAAUGAGGACAAUCGGCUAAUAGAUUGGAUUACUAAUUUGUUACAUGAAAUGCAUAUAGAUUGAUCUCAUAUCAUCCUGAUACGCCAACUCCAUAUAUUCUUGGUAUGUCUUGAUGUUCAAGCCGGUUGCUCCAUUCAGUUUUCAUGGGCCUCCUUCCUCAUGGCCUCUGGCCUGAUAGUAGGACAUGGUCAAAUAUUACAGAUGGUGCGGGUACCUGCGACCCAUAUAUCCGAUAAUGUCUUUUCUCAUUUGAGGUCAUUUUAGAUUUCCAAAUUUUAUUGUGUUGCACCUAUUUUUAUAGGCACCUCUAGAUCUAGCUGUCUCUCUACAAACCUAUUUUUAGAGACAGCUCUACACUCAACCACCUUUAAAAAUCUAUUUGUAGAGGUGGCUAUAUCUAGAGUUGCCUCUAAAGAUACAGGCAAUUAUAAAGGUGGCUGAAAAUACAAACCAUCCCUACAAUUGUAUUUUUAGAGGCGGUUUCUUUCGGAAACUAUUUUGAGAGGCGAGUCUAGAUUGAGCCACCUUUAUUCAAAAAAGGAGAUCUGUUUACAAAUCAAUUCUGUAGUGCUGUAUUAAAUGCAUUAUAAUGAUAUAUUCAUGGAAAAUUUCAUAAAAAACAUCUGUUGUCGUAGAUGUUUAAAUAUUUUUAUAAACUUUGAGCAAAUCUAGAGUAGUUGACGAGAGAGUAUAUAUCACACUCGAGCAACCAACUAUGACCUAAGCCUAUUAAAAGGCAACCAUACAUGUUUGGCGAAGAUCGAUCUCCAGCAUCAUAUCGUAGAGAUAUAUAUGAACACACAACAACCAAUGUAUGUUUUAUGAGAUUGUUUGGUCUAAUCGAUUCAUUUGGUUUGUACGUUGCCAGGGAGCCAUUUUCACAAAUUUUGUACA
rnacentral:lncRNA from 1 species